UUGAUGCAGCUUAGUUACCAUCAAGUUCAUGUGUUUCAUUUACAGAGAAAAAAGAAAUUAUUUAAAAGGAACAUUUGCUGCAAACUGACUUAAAAUAUUGAUGAUCGUCACAUAUUUUGAAGCUUUCUCAAAAACAGGUUGCCCAAUAACAGAUGCCAUACCUGUAUUGCAUGCAUCUUAUAUCUACAAUACUUGAAGUGUUCAUAUGUAAACCCCCCUGCCUGCAUCCGACUUCCGGGUUCCUUUUAUAGACCCGCCCCACCCCACCGAAGAUGUCACAAAAGGGGCAGGGUGAGCAGGCGUGUGGCUAUUAAGCCAUAAGUCGGACGCUGGUAUUUCAAGACGGCGGGCGGGGAGAGCAGGAGAAGAGCUCAACCCAGAGGAGUGCGAGGUCGGCCCGAACCCGCAGGUAUUGGUCCAGCCCACAUAUCAAUACAGCCCAUGUAUUCUAAAUCUGUGCUGCCUCCGGGAGCUGUCAGGCUGAAUGGAAGCUACAAGAGUUCCUGGUCUUCUACUGGGGGGGACAAGCCUUCUACUAUUUUGCCUAUGGCAGCAAUUUGCUGAAAGAGCAGUUUCUUCUUUCCAACCCAUCCGCUUCCUUACACUGCAUUACCGAACUCAAGGACUCACAGUGCAUUAACUGUCACGAGCAGAUCAUAGUUGUCAAAGAGAACAACCUCAGGUCCCUCAACGAUGAUAAUGUACAGAAUCUGAAUGAAGAGCAUAAGCGCCAGCUUCCCAAUGCUGCUGAUCUGCAAGAAGACGGAACAGGCCAGCAGGCUCAGCAGUAUGCUGUAGUUGAAAUACUGUCAAUAAAUAAAGAAAGGAUAUAUAAAGUUACAAUACAUCACCUUUUGUGGCAUACUCAAUGCACCAUUUACCCUAAAGCGAAAAAAAUACUGUCUUUGUAAUUAUGAAGGUGCAGUUAUACACGGAAAAAUCCUUCUCAGCAUAAACAGGCAUUUAAAGUUAUUAUAUCAAAUCAUUAAAAUAAACAUAUAUAGCAUAAAGAUUAAA